rnacentral:piRNA from 1 species
CACAAAUGGAAAAAAUGUGUCAGCAGGC